rnacentral:rRNA from 1 species
UGCAAGUCGAGCGGUAAGGCCCUUCGGGGUACACGAGCGGCGAACGGGUGAGUAACACGUGGGUGAUCUGCCCUGUACUUCGGGAUAAGCCUGGGAAACUGGGUCUAAUACCGGAUAUGACCUUACAUCGCAUGGUGUUUGGUGGAAAGAUUUAUCGGUACAGGAUGGGCCCGCGGCCUAUCAGCUUGUUGGUGGGGUAAUGGCCUACCAAGGCGACGACGGGUAGCCGGCCUGAGAGGGCGACCGGCCACACUGGGACUGAGACACGGCCCAGACUCCUACGGGAGGCAGCAGUGGGGAAUAUUGCACAAUGGGCGAAAGCCUGAUGCAGCGACGCCGCGUGAGGGAUGACGGCCUUCGGGUUGUAAACCUCUUUCGACAGGGACGAAGCGCAAGUGACGGUACCUGUAGAAGAAGCACCGGCCAACUACGUGCCAGCAGCCGCGGUAAUACGUAGGGUGCGAGCGUUGUCCGGAAUUACUGGGCGUAAAGAGCUUGUAGGCGGUUUGUCGCGUCGUUCCGUGAAAACUUGGGGCUCAACCCCAAGCUUGCG